AUUCAGCUGGCGAGUACCAAAUAGGACGAGACGCGCGUCAAACUGGAU
rfam:Schistosoma mattheei strain Denwood, Zambia genome assembly, scaffold: SMTD_scaffold0006643